GUGGGGAAUAUUGCACAAUGGGCGGAAGCCUGAUGCAGCGACGCCGCGUGAGGGAUGACGGCCUUCGGGUUGUAAACCUCUUUCACCAAGGACGAAGCGGGAGUGACGGUACUUGGGGAAGAAGCACCGGCUAACUACGUGCCAGCAGCCGCGGUAAUACGUAGGGUGCGAGCGUUGUCCGGAAUUAUUGGGCGUAAAGAGCUCGUAGGCGACUCGUUGCGUCUACCGUGAAAACUGGAGGCUUAACCUUCAGCUUGCGGUGGAUACGGGCGGGCUUGAGUUCGGUAGGGGAGACUGGAAUUCCUGGUGUAGCGGUGAAAUGCGCAGAUAUCAGGAGGAACACCGGUGGCGAAGGCGGGUCUCUGGGCCGAUACUGACGCUGAGGAGCGAAAGAGUGGGGAGCGAACAGGAUUAGAUACCCUGGUAGUCC
rnacentral:rRNA from 1 species